GGGUAGCUCAGUCGGUAGAGUCUGACUCUGCGGGUCGUGGGUUCGAGCCCCACGUAGGGCA
rnacentral:tRNA from 1 species